UAGAAGAAGAAAAUAUGACAAAAAAAAAAUUAAAAAACAAAAAAAAUUCAAAAAAGAAUAAUUAAAAAAAAUAUUGACGACAAAAGAAAAAAAAAAAGAAGAGAAGAAAUUACAGAAAAUGAGAAGAAGAACGUCGAGUGAAAUAAUCGAUAUUUGUCGCUGCGUGAUCUAUGUAGGCAAUUUAAUGAUAUAUAAAAUGAUGAUGAUGAAAUAAAUGAAGAUAUAUUAACGGGUGUUAAUUGAGUUGCGUAGCUGACUAUGGUUAACGAUUGAUGAAUACAAGUAUAUCUGUUGGGUGUCGUUAAACGACGCUCCCUGAUCACGCGUUAUUAUAUUAAUUUAAUAAUAAUGAUAAUAAUUUAAAAGAACAAGACGAAAAUAAGCGUAGGUAACAAAGAAAACAAAUGAAACGUAUGAACGGAAAGAAAAAUUCAAAGCAACAAACAUUAUUUGUCAUGUUUGUUUGUUUUUUUUUUUUUUAUAUUUCAUUUCUUCUUUGAUCAUGUUAAAAUUUGCUUCAUUUUCUUUUUGGGGCGGAAGAGGUCAAAUAUAAACGACGUGGCAUAGACAAUCUUCUAAAACAGAAAUAGUUGCAAAUUGUAUUUCACUUCGUACCUUCGAUUUUCGUCGAAACCUUCACUUCUAUUGCUGCUGCUGUUGUUCUCACCACCGCUGUCGUUUCUGCUGCUGCCAUUGCGAAAGAGAGAAAGAAAGUGAGAAAGAAAAUAUUUCCUUCACAAUAAUACUUUUUCACUCAUCAUGAUGCGUUCCAUUCGUCAUUCCUCUAACAGUUCUGUCAUUAAUAUUAAUACGAAUACUCCUUAUUUGACAAAACACAUAGUUGAUCCAAGAUGUUUUAUGCUUCUAAGUUUUCUUGCACACGGACUUUAAAAUUAGGCGGUCAUACCUAUGAAUAGAAAAGAAUAAAUAAAUAAAAAAAAAAAAAAAAAAAAAGCUUGUUCGAGACAGACUGUGACUAAAUAGUGACGAUUGUUAUGCCCAUUGUGAAUUUAUAACAAGAUACUAUUUUUUAAUAACUGUUUAACACGGGCUGCUCCUGUGCUGUCGGAAAUUUCACAUUAAAUUCUAGUCCAAGGCUCGUCGUGUAAAAUCACCUGUGUAGGGAUUUGCAUGUUACACACGUGCGAAACUAGGGCGAUACCAUUUUACAUUUAGAAAUAAUAUCGCCCUGCUAUGUAAGAUCGAAGCUCAGAGCUUACGAUUUUUCGCAUACUUCCUUCCCGUAUUUGACAAGGUUGUUGUUGUUGUUUUUUUUUUUUUUUUUCCCCCCUUCACACUUCGCGCCUUUUCUUCAAAGUUGUCCGUCGCGCUCUUCUCUGAUGGUACUUCACUGUUUUAGUUGUUACGCAUUGUUGUUUGUUCAAUUUCCAUAGCAAUUUCGUUUCAUUGGUUUUUAUUUUUAUUUUUAUUUUUUUUUUUUCUUACCACCGUUUGUAUUUCUAUGGAAAAAUUGAUAAGUUCCGAAAAUUGUCAAUUUAUACAACAAGUACGUGCACGUGUGGACAAAACGUGGUAUUGUAGAACGAAAAUGAAUAGCCAAUCUUGUGAGAACUUUGAAAAAAGUAAACAGUCUCGUUUCAUAAUUGUAUGAAAUUUCUUUUGGACAUUCCUAUUGAACGUAGAAGAACAAAUUUCAAGCACACUUUCUUCCCCGCACAUGACUAGUUUACGAUUUCGGCUUUCUCAAGUGUCAAAAAAUAAUAUUAAUAAUAUUAAUAAUAAUAAUAAUAGUAACAAUAAUGAUCACGAUAGUAAUAAUAAUUUGAUGAUAAGUAUGUCGUAAUUUCUACUGAACAGUAAUUUUUCAAUUAUGUAAGAUCAUUUGUUUCUAUUUAGUUUAUUUAUUUUUUUGUUGCCACGUUUCGUCGUUGUUGCUACUGCUAAUGCAGGGAUAAACAAAAUCGAGCUUUUCAGAAAUGAUUUUAUCGGGCGGCUCGUUUCUUUGUCGAUAAAAAGAAGAAAAUGGAAAGAAAAAAAAAAUAAUAAUAAUAAUAAUAAAAAACGAAAGAACAAAAUUUAUAAGAAAAAACGGGUGAGAAAAGAGAAAAAAAAUUUAGCGAUAGAAAUUAAAUAUUGAAUGAAAACAUCGCGCCACGUGGUGAAUUUAAGUAUAAAAUGCUUAUGGAACAUCUUAAAUGCAUGGAGAACGGAAAACAGAUUUUAGAUAAUGACUAUCAGUAGGCUCUUUUAUAGAUUCUUUUUAGGUAUAUAUUGUAAUUGUAUGUUUAAUAUUUUAUGAAAAUUAAAAAUUGAGAAUCAAUAUUCCUCUCGUAAAUCAUGAGAGUGCGAGUGAGUAAAUGAGACAUUGAGAGAGAACGAGAGAGAGAGUGAACACAGAUUGAAAUGACGACAAUUUAUCAUUAAUUAAUAAUAGUCAUAAUAAUAUUAAUAAUAAUAAUAUCAAUAAUAAUGUUAGAAAUAACGUAUAAUUUAUUGAUAGGAAUUUAGAAAAUAGUUAUCGACAAGGGAAAAAUGUGUGACGAUAUUGUUUUAUAGAACUUUUCUAAUCGCCCUGUGCUGUGUAUUGAUCUUCGAUUGAUUCGUAUUGAUCGUGAAAAAAAAAAAAAAAAGAAAACAAAAAAAAAAGGAGAAAUACAAUCGAUUAUAUUUCCAUGCAUUUCAAGAUACCGGAUGCAUUUAUAGCUGAACGCUCGUUGAACAAUUUUUUACCAUUAUAAGUUUUGCCUUUUUUCGUUUUCAUAAAUGUACAAACAAGUUGAAAAUGAAUUUUAUGCGUACAAAUGAAAAAUUAUGAUUUUAAAAAGUUGCCGUCUCUGUACUUUGAGACUUACCUCUAAACAAUCUUAAUCAAUAACGCACCGAGGAAAAUCGGAAGAAAAUAAGACGAAGAACAAAAUAAAAAAAAAAAAAAAAAAAAAGAAAGUAAAACGUCCUCACGAAAAGGUUCAACGGUAGUAGAAAAGAAAAAGAGAAAAACGGUGAAAAAAAAAUUGCAAACCGCGAAAAAAAGAAAAAAAAAAAAAAACAAAAACAAAACAAAACGUUUUCAUCAGAGUAACGGAUAGUCCGACUAUCCCUUUUCUAUCGAUUCUACUGACAUGGUGUUUCAUCUGGUGAUAGGAAAUAAUAAAUUUCUCUCUCAAAAGUACCUAUGAUAAUAAUUAUAUAAUAAUUAUAUCUCCAACGAAUCUCUGACAUUUCGUUCAAAUCAUCAAUUACAACUCUCGCGGGCGUUGAAAAUUAACAAAUAAUAAUUUUACUUUUCAAUUAGUUACGCGGCAGAAAAAUUUUGUUGAAAAACGAAAAAAGAAAAUAAUAUGCACUUCGACACGUUUGCAACAACCGCAAGACCUUUCGCUCUACCAGCCAUAUUAUGAUGUAAAUAAAUUAUACUGUAAUAUGAACGUUAGAACGAGGCCAUAAUGUGAAAAGAGUCUGAGGAAAAACUAGUGAUCAUGAAA